rnacentral:rRNA from 1 species
GGGUUGUGAGGUUAAGCGACUAAGCGUACACGGUGGAUGCCUUGGCAGUCAGAGGCGAUGAAGGACGUGCUAAUCUGCGAUAAGCGUCGGUAAGGUGAUAUGAACCGUUAUAACCGGCGAUUUCCGAAUGGGGAAACCCAGUGUGAUUCGUCACACUAUCAUUAACUGAAUCCAUAGGUUAAUGAGGCGAACCGGGGGAACUGAAACAUCUAAGUACCCCGAGGAAAAGAAAUCAACCGAGAUUCCCCCAGUAGCGGCGAGCGAACGGGGAGCAGCCCAGAGCCUGAAUCAGUAUGUGUGUUAGUGGAAGCGUCUGGAAAGGCGCGCGAUACAGGGUGACAGCCCCGUACACAAAAAUGCACAUGCUGUGAGCUCGAUGAGUAGGGCGGGACACGUGGUAUCCUGUCUGAAUAUGGGGGGACCAUCCUCCAAGGCUAAAUACUCCUGACUGACCGAUAGUGAACCAGUACCGUGAGGGAAAGGCGAAAAGAACCCCGGCGAGGGGAGUGAAAAAGAACCUGAAACCGUGUACGUACAAGCAGUGGGAGCACGCUUAGGCGUGUGACUGCGUACCUUUUGUAUAAUGGGUCAGCGACUUAUAUUCUGUAGCAAGGUUAACCGAAUAGGGGAGCCGAAGGGAAACCGAGUCUUAACUGGGCGUUAAGUUGCAGGGUAUAGACCCGAAACCCGGUGAUCUAGCCAUGGGCAGGUUGAAGGUUGGGUAACACUAACUGGAGGACCGAACCGACUAAUGUUGAAAAAUUAGCGGAUGACUUGUGGCUGGGGGUGAAAGGCCAAUCAAACCGGGAGAUAGCUGGUUCUCCCCGAAAGCUAUUUAGGUAGCGCCUCGUGAAUUCAUCUCCGGGGGUAGAGCACUGUUUCGGCAAGGGGGUCAUCCCGACUUACCAACCCGAUGCAAACUGCGAAUACCGGAGAAUGUUAUCACGGGAGACACACGGCGGGUGCUAACGUCCGUCGUGAAGAGGGAAACAACCCAGACCGCCAGCUAAGGUCCCAAAGUCAUGGUUAAGUGGGAAACGAUGUGGGAAGGCCCAGACAGCCAGGAUGUUGGCUUAGAAGCAGCCAUCAUUUAAAGAAAGCGUAAUAGCUCACUGGUCGAGUCGGCCUGCGCGGAAGAUGUAACGGGGCUAAACCAUGCACCGAAGCUGCGGCAGCGACGCUUAUGCGUUGUUGGGUAGGGGAGCGUUCUGUAAGCCUGUGAAGGUGUGCUGUGAGGCAUGCUGGAGGUAUCAGAAGUGCGAAUGCUGACAUAAGUAACGAUAAAGCGGGUGAAAAGCCCGCUCGCCGGAAGACCAAGGGUUCCUGUCCAACGUUAAUCGGGGCAGGGUGAGUCGACCCCUAAGGCGAGGCCGAAAGGCGUAGUCGAUGGGAAACAGGUUAAUAUUCCUGUACUUGGUGUUACUGCGAAGGGGGGACGGAGAAGGCUAUGUUGGCCGGGCGACGGUUGUCCCGGUUUAAGCGUGUAGGCUGGUUUUCCAGGCAAAUCCGGAAAAUCAAGGCUGAGGCGUGAUGACGAGGCACUACGGUGCUGAAGCAACAAAUGCCCUGCUUCCAGGAAAAGCCUCUAAGCAUCAGGUAACAUCAAAUCGUACCCCAAACCGACACAGGUGGUCAGGUAGAGAAUACCAAGGCGCUUGAGAGAACUCGGGUGAAGGAACUAGGCAAAAUGGUGCCGUAACUUCGGGAGAAGGCACGCUGAUAUGUAGGUGAAGUCCCUCGCGGAUGGAGCUGAAAUCAGUCGAAGAUACCAGCUGGCUGCAACUGUUUAUUAAAAACACAGCACUGUGCAAACACGAAAGUGGACGUAUACGGUGUGACGCCUGCCCGGUGCCGGAAGGUUAAUUGAUGGGGUCAGCGCAAGCGAAGCUCUUGAUCGAAGCCCCGGUAAACGGCGGCCGUAACUAUAACGGUCCUAAGGUAGCGAAAUUCCUUGUCGGGUAAGUUCCGACCUGCACGAAUGGCGUAAUGAUGGCCAGGCUGUCUCCACCCGAGACUCAGUGAAAUUGAACUCGCUGUGAAGAUGCAGUGUACCCGCGGCAAGACGGAAAGACCCCGUGAACCUUUACUAUAGCUUGACACUGAACAUUGAGCCUUGAUGUGUAGGAUAGGUGGGAGGCUUUGAAGUGUGGACGCCAGUCUGCAUGGAGCCGACCUUGAAAUACCACCCUUUAAUGUUUGAUGUUCUAACGUUGACCCGUAAUCCGGGUUGCGGACAGUGUCUGGUGGGUAGUUUGACUGGGGCGGUCUCCUCCUAAAGAGUAACGGAGGAGCACGAAGGUUGGCUAAUCCUGGUCGGACAUCAGGAGGUUAGUGCAAUGGCAUAAGCCAGCUUGACUGCGAGCGUGACGGCGCGAGCAGGUGCGAAAGCAGGUCAUAGUGAUCCGGUGGUUCUGAAUGGAAGGGCCAUCGCUCAACGGAUAAAAGGUACUCCGGGGAUAACAGGCUGAUACCGCCCAAGAGUUCAUAUCGACGGCGGUGUUUGGCACCUCGAUGUCGGCUCAUCACAUCCUGGGGCUGAAGUAGGUCCCAAGGGUAUGGCUGUUCGCCAUUUAAAGUGGUACGCGAGCUGGGUUUAGAACGUCGUGAGACAGUUCGGUCCCUAUCUGCCGUGGGCGCUGGAGAACUGAGGGGGGCUGCUCCUAGUACGAGAGGACCGGAGUGGACGCAUCACUGGUGUUCGGGUUGUCAUGCCAAUGGCACUGCCCGGUAGCUAAAUGCGGAAGAGAUAAGUGCUGAAAGCAUCUAAGCACGAAACUUGCCCCGAGAUGAGUUCUCCCUGACUCCUUGAGAGUCCUGAAGGAACGUUGAAGACGACGACGUUGAUAGGCCGGGUGUGUAAGCGCAGCGAUGCGUUGAGCUAACCGGUACUAAUGAACCGUGAGGCUUAACCUUACAACGCCGAAGGUGUUU